AAUAUUUCGCAAUGGGCGGAAGCCUGACGCAGCGACGCCGCGUUAGGGAUGAAGGCCUUCGGGUUGUAAACCUCUUUCAGCAGGAACGAACAAUGACGGUACCUGCAGAAGAAGCACCGGCUCACUACGUGCCAGCAGCCGCUGUAAUACGUAGGGUGCAAGCGUUGUCCGGAUUUAUUGGGCGUAAAGAGCUCGUAGGCGGUUUGUCGCGUCGACUGAGAAAGCCCGGAGCUCAACUCCGGGUCUGCAGUCGAUACGGGCAGACUAGAGUUCGGUAGGGGAGACUGGAAUUCCUGGUGUAGCGGUGAAAUGCGAAGAUAUCAGAAGGAACACCGGUGGCGAAGGCGGGUCUCUGGGCCGAUACUGACGCUGAGGAGCGAAAGCGUGGGGAGCAAACA
rnacentral:rRNA from 1 species